GCUGGGUGUGGUGGUGCACGCCUGUAGUCCCAGCUACUUGGGAGGCUGAGGCAGGAGAAUUGCUUGAACCCGGGAGGUAGAGGUUGCAGUGAGUCAAGAUUGCGCCACUGCACUCCAGCCUGGGCAACAGAGCAAGCCUCUGUCUCAA
ensembl:misc_RNA Metazoa_SRP Metazoan signal recognition particle RNA